GGGGCCGUAGCUUAGCCAGGUGGAGCGACGGGCUCAUAACCCGUUGGCCGUCGGUUCGAAUCCGGCCGGCCCCA
rnacentral:tRNA from 4 species